rnacentral:rRNA from 1 species
CCUACGGGUGGCAGCAGUGAGGAAUAUUGGUCAAUGGGCUUACGCCUGAACCAGCCAAGUCGCGUGAGGGAAGACUGCCCUAUGGGUUGUAAACCUCUUUUGUCAGGGAACAAAGGCGGGGACGUGUCCCCGGAUGAGUGUACCUGAAGCAAAAGCCUCGGCUAACUCCGUGCCAGCAGCCGCGGUAAUACGGAGGAUGCGAGCGUUAUCCGGAUUUAUUGGGUUUAAAGGGUGCGCAGGCGGUCUGUUAAGUCAGCGGUCAAAGCCCGGGUCUAAACCCCGGCCCGCCGUUGAAACUGGCAGUCUCGAGUUGGAGAGAAGUAUGCGGAAUGCGCGGUGUAGCGGUGAAAUGCAUAGAUAUCGCGCAGAACUCCGAGUGCGAAGGCAGCAUGCCGGCUCCACACUGACGCUGAGGCACGAAAGCGUGGGUAUCGAACAGGAUUAGAUACCCCUGUAGUC